GGAGCAUCACUAUGAGUUUAUUAUAUUGUUAUCCUUGCACUUUGAUUGCCCAUGAAGAAUAUGCAUGGAGAAAAUUUUCUUUCAGGUGCUC